rnacentral:lncRNA from 1 species
AUGGCCAAGUCUAAGAACCACACCACACACAGCCAGUCCCGAAAUGGCACAGAAAUGGUAUCAAGAAACCCCGAUCACAAAGAUAUGAAUCCCUUAAGGGAGUGGACCCCAAGUUCCUGAGGAACAUGCGCUUUGCCAAGAAGCACAACAAGAAAGGCCUAAAAAAGAUGCAGGCCAACAGUGCCAGGGCCACGAGUGCACGUGCUGACGCUAUCAAGGCCCUUGUAAAGCCCAAGGAGGUUAAGCCCGAGAUCCCAAAGGGUGUCAGCCGCAAGCUCGAUCCACUUGCCUACAUUGCCCACCCCCAGGCUUGGGAAAUGUGCUCAUUCCUGCAUUGCCAAGGGGCUCAAGCUAUGUCGGUCAAAGGCCAAGGCCAAAGAUCAAACCAAGGCCCAGGCUGCAGCUCCAGCUUAGGCUCCCAAAGGUGCCCGGACACCUACGAAGGCUUCAGAG